rnacentral:rRNA from 1 species
AGUAACACGUGGGUAACCUGCCCAUAAGACUGGGAUAACUCCGGGAAACCGGGGCUAAUACCGGAUAACAUUUUGAACCGCAUGGUUCGAAAUUGAAAGGCGGCUUCGGCUGUCACUUAUGGAUGGACCCGCGUCGCAUUAGCUAGUUGGUGAGGUAACGGCUCACCAAGGCAACGAUGCGUAGCCGACCUGAGAGGGUGAUCGGCCACACUGGGACUGAGACACGGCCCAGACUCCUACGGGAGGCAGCAGUAGGGAAUCUUCCGCAAUGGACGAAAGUCUGACGGAGCAACGCCGCGUGAGUGAUGAAGGCUUUCGGGUCGUAAAACUCUGUUGUUAGGGAAGAACAAGUGCUAGUUGAAUAAGCUGGCACCUUGACGGUACCUAACCAGAAAGCCACGGCUAACUACGUGCCAGCAGCCGCGGUAAUACGUAGGUGGCAAGCGUUAUCCGGAAUUAUUGGGCGUAAAGCGCGCGCAGGUGGUUUCUUAAGUCUGAUGUGAAAGCCCACGGCUCAACCGUGGAGGGUCAUUGGAAACUGGGAGACUUGAGUGCAGAAGAGGNAAGUGGANAUUCCAUGUGUAGCGGUGAAAUGCGUAGAGAUAUGGAGGAACACCAGUGGCGAAGGCGACUUUCUGGUCUGUAACUGACACUGAGGCGCGAAAGCGUGGGGAGCAAACCAGGAUUAGAUACCCCUGGU